AGGGUCCUCUGGGCAGCACAGGAGCCCUGAGAGGAGACAGAGACAGACCCGCAAGGCCAUCCUGGAGUCCGGCGGAUCCCAAAGUGUCAUUGGAUGGAGACCACUAGAAGUAGCUCUGAGCAGGAUUUAAAAUGAACCAAUCGGC
rnacentral:lncRNA from 1 species